rnacentral:misc_RNA from 1 species
AACCGAUCAACACCUGUGGGGGUUGGCACUGGCGUUCCGUGCAGCAAUGUGCGGUCUGCUUGAAACUAUUCAGGUUGAUGGGCUCCGGCUGGGCUCCAAAUGUGCUAAAAGACUGUGGUCUUUCGUCGUUUGGUUGCACAGCUGCAAGGCUCUACUCAACAACCUUAACCAACUUAUCUAUCUAUCUA